rnacentral:rRNA from 1 species
GACGAACGCUGGCGGCGUGCUUAACACAUGCAAGUCGAACGGAAAGGCCCUGCUUUUGUGGGGUGCUCGAGUGGCGAACGGGUGAGUAACACGUGAGUAACCUGCCCUUGACUUUGGGAUAACUUCAGGAAACUGGGGCUAAUACCGGAUAGGAGCUCCUGCUGCAUGGGGGGGGUUGGAAAGUUUCGGCGGUUGGGGAUGGACUCGCGGCUUAUCAGCUUGUUGGUGGGGUAGUGGCUUACCAAGGCUUUGACGGGUAGCCGGCCUGAGAGGGUGACCGGCCACAUUGGGACUGCGAUACGGCCCAGACUCCUACGGGAGGCAGCAGUGGGGAAUAUUGCACAAUGGGCGGAAGCCUGAUGCAGCAACGCCGCGUGCGGGAUGACGGCCUUCGGGUUGUAAACCGCUAUCGCCUGUGACGAAGCGUGAGUGACGGUAAUGGGUAAAGAAGCACCGGCUAACUACGUG